rnacentral:rRNA from 1 species
CACGUAUUUAGCCGGAGCUUCUUAGUCAGGUACCGUCAUUUUCUUCCCUGCUGAUAGAGCUUUACAUACCGAAAUACUUCUUCACUCACGCGGCGUUGCUGCAUCAGGGUUCCCCCCAUUGUGCAAUAUUCCCCACUGCUGCCUCCCGUAGGAGUUUGGGCCGUGUCUCAGUCCCAAUGUGGCCGUCCACUCUCAAGCCGGCUACUGAUCGUUGUCUUGGUAGGCCGUUACCCUGCCAACUAACUAAUCAGACGCGGGCCCAUCCUGUACCACCGGAGUUUUUCCUGCUGUACCAUGCGGCACUGUAGGCUUAUGCGGUAUUAGCAGCCGUUUCCAGCUGUUGUCCCCCUGUACAGGGCAGGUUACCCACGCGUUACUCACCCGUCCGCCACUCAGUCCUGCGCAUCUUCCCUCCGGAGAGUUCCGCCGCGCAGUCUUCGUUCGACUUGCAUGUGUUAGGCACGCCGCCAGCGUUCAUCCUGAGCCAGGAUCAAACUCU